rnacentral:rRNA from 1 species
CCUGACGCAGCGACGCCGCGUGUGGGAUGAAGGCCUUCGGGUUGUAAACCACUUUCGACCGGAAAGAAACGCCUUAAGGUAAAUAAUCUUAGGGUUUGACGGUACCGGGAGAAGAAGCCACGACUAACUCUGUGCCAGCAGCCGCGGUAAGACAGAGGUGGCGAGCGUUGUUCGGAUUUACUGGGCGUAAAGAGUACGUAGGCGGUUACGUGUGUCAGAUGUGAAAUCCCCAGGCUUAACCUGGGAAUGGCAUUUGAAACUGCGUGACUUGAGGACAGGAGGGGGAAGCGGAAUUCCAGGUGUAGCGGUGAAAUGCGUAGAUAUCUGGAGGAACACCUGUGGCGAAGGCGGCUUCCUGGACUGUUUCUGACGCUGAGGUACGAAAGCGUGGGUAGCGAACAGGAUUAGAUACCCUGGUAGUCCACGCCCUAAACGAUGGAUGCUAAGUGUCGGGAGUAUCGAUCCUCCCGGUGCCCCACCUAACGGAUUAAGCAUCCCGCCUGGGGAGUACGGCCGCAAGGUUGAAACUCAAAGGAAUUGACGGGGGCCCGCACAAGCGGUGGAGCAUGUGGUUUAAUUCGACGCAACGCGAGGAACCUUACCUGGGCUUGACAUGCAGGCAGUACUGAACCGAA